GGACAAGAUUAGGUUGAGAUCCUGGCAUCUGUAGGGGGACAAGAUUAGGUUGAGAUCCUGGCAUCUGUAGGGGGACAAGAUUAGGUUGAGAUGUGUUUAGAUCCUGGCAUCUAUAGGGGGACAAGAUUAGGUUGAGAUGUGUUGAGAUCCUGGCAUCUGUAGGGGGACAAGAUUAGCAUGCCACCCUAGGUUGAGAUGUGUUGAGAUCCUGGCAUCUGUAGGGGGACAAGAUUAGCAUGCCACCCUAGGUUGAGAUGCACCCAGAAGUCAGAUUCAGUAAUAACCAUAUUGGCAUCCAUAUGCUUUUAUUAAAUUCACAUUUCCACUUUUACAGAAUUAAAACGACUACUCAAACGCAACAUUUACUAAGCAUACCGAUUAGACAAACUAAACCAUA